rnacentral:rRNA from 1 species
UGGUGGUGUGAAUUGUCUGGUUGAUUCCGAUAACGAACGAGACUCUCAGGGUAAACUAGUGCGCGUCGUAUUUCGCGAUACUUCCCACUUCUUUUCCCGACAAUUCGUUUCAAACGAAAGGAAGCAGAGAGCAAUAACA